rnacentral:tRNA from 2 species
CGGGGUGUGGCGCAGCCUGGUAGCGCACUUGCAUGGGGUGCAAGGGGUCGUGAGUUCGAGUCCCACCACCCCGA